GUGUCAGCCGCCGCGGUAAUACGUAGGGGGCAAGCGUUGUCCGGAAUCAUUGGGCGUAAAGCGCGUGUAGGCGGCCCGGAAAGUCUGGUGUGAAAACUUGAGGCUCAACCUCAAGCUGUCACUGGAUACUAUCGGGCUUGAGUCCGGAAGAGGAGAGUGGAAUUCCUGGUGUAGCGGUGGAAUGCGCAGAUAUCAGGAGGAACACCAAUGGCGAAGGCAGCUCUCUGGUACGUGACUGACGCUGAGACGCGAAAGCGUGGGGAGCAAACAGGAUUAGAUACCCUAGUAGUCC
rnacentral:rRNA from 1 species